rnacentral:rRNA from 1 species
CAUAUCAAUAAGCGGAGGAAAAGAAACCAACAGGGAUUACCUCAGUAACGGCGAGUGAAGCGGUAACAGCUCAAAUUUGAAAGCUAGCUCUUUGAGGGUUCGCAUUGUAAUUUGUAGAAGAUGCUUCGGGUGUGGCCCCGGUCUAAGUUCCUUGGAACAGGACGUCAUAGAGGGUGAGAAUCCCGUAUGUGACUGGGUGCUUUCGCUCAUGUGAAGCUCUUUCGACGAGUCGAGUUGUUUGGGAAUGCAGCUCUAAAUGGGUGGUACAUUUCAUCUAAAGCUAAAUAUUGGCCAGAGACCGAUAGCGCACAAGUAGAGUGAUCGAAAGAUGAAAAGCACUUUGGAAAGAGAGUUAAACAGUACGUGAAAUUGUUGAAAGGGAAGCGCUUGCAACCAGACUUGCGCGCUGAUGAUCAUCCGGGCUUCUGCCCGGUGCACUCGUCUGCGCUCAGGCCAGCAUCGGUUUCGGUGGUGGGAUAAAGGCCUUGGGAAUGUAGCUCCUCUCGGGGAGUGUUAUAGCCCUCGGUGCAAUGCCGCCUACCGGGACCGAGGACCGCGCUUCGGCUAGGAUGCUGGCGUAAUGGUUGUAAGCGACCCGUCUUGAAACACGGACCAAGGAGUCUAACAUCUAUGCGAGUGUUUGGGUGUCAAACCCAUACGCGUAAUGAAAGUGAACGGAGGUGAGAACCCUUAAGGGCGCAUCAUCGACCGGUCCUGAUGUCUUCGGAUGGAUCUGAGUAAGAGCAUAGCUGUUGGGACCCGAAAGAUGGUGAACUAUGCGUGAAUAGGGUGAAGCCAGAGGAAACUCUGGUGGAGGCUCGCAGCGGUUCUGACGUGCAAAUCGAUCGUCAAAUUUGCGUAUAGGGGCGAAAGACUAAUCGAACCAU